rnacentral:rRNA from 1 species
UACGGGGGGUGCAAGCGUUGUCCGGAAUCAUUGGGCGUAAAGCGUUCGUAGGCGGCAAGGUAAGUCUGAUGUUAAAGCCCGGGGCUCAACUCCGGUUCGGCAUUGGAUACUAUCUAGCUAGAAUGUGGUAGAGGUAAAGGGAAUUCCUGGUGUAGCGGUGAAAUGCGUAGAUAUCACGAAGAACUCCGAUUGCGAAGGCAGCCUGCUGGACUGUAACUGACGCUGAUGCUCGAAAGUGUGGGUAUCAAACAGG